AAAUAAAUUAAAUAUAAAAUAAUUAAAGAAUUUUUAAAAAAUAAAGAUUAAGAGGUAUUUUUAUAAAAUAUAGAAAUCUUGCAAUAUUUUUAUUCAAAAUUAUGUGUCAUUGUAAAUAUUUUUUAGGGGUCAAAUAGGGGAAGAGAAGGCAUAAAAUAGGGGAAGCACCAAAUUCGAGGGAGUUGAGAUUUAGGGACCGAGUGAGAGAAGAUGAGCUACGUAUUAACGACGCUGACGAAGAAGAAGGAAAUAGACUCUAUAAUCAGAGACACCAUCGACAAGGUUCUCGUCCUCCGCUUUGGCCGUGCAUCCGACGCCGGCUGCCUUCACCUCGAUGACCUGCUAUCGAAAUCUGCUCGAGAGGUUUCCAAAUUCGCAAAUAUAGCUUUAGUAGAUAUAGACUCGGAGGAUGUUCAAGUUUACAUCAAAUAUUUCGACAUUUCUUUGAUUCCUUCUACCAUUUUUUUCUUCAAUGCUCAUCAUAUGAAGAUGGAUUCCGGGACUGCUGAUCAUACUAAAUGGAUUGGUGCAUUUCACACGAAACAAGAUUUCAUUGAUGUAGUGGAGGUAUAUUCAUUUCUGGAUUUGCUAAUUGGCCUAUUUAAUUCAUUUCAAUUUGUGUCCUUUUUAUGCGCCAAAUUUUAGAACAGUGGCAUUUAUGCACUACGAUGCUGACCCAUUUUUUUGGAAUGCUGAAAAUUAUUUGUACAUGUUAUUGAGAAACUCUCCUCCACCAUCAGAAGGGUUCUAAAUUUAUUUUCAAGUUACUUAGUAGAGUGCAUCUGGAUGCUGAUUGCAUAUCUGCUUAGUAAGCAAUUUUCGACCAGAGUUCCUCAAUGAUGUCUUAGAGUCCUUAACUCAUUUUCCCUGUACGAACUUAGAGGUAAGGUAGCAAGUCUGUUGCUCUAGUCAUCACUCUUUGGUAUUGCAGCGUUCUGAUGUUAUAUAGCAUGAGUACUUCCCUCUUGGAUGUAAUUCCCUAAUGGAGUUGCAGUAUUUUAUGGUUGCAGUAGUUGGAAACUGCUGAUCAUGCAAAUAAAAUAUAUUGAUAUUUUUAAUUGAGCAAGUAAUUCAUGUACAGCACCAAAUAUAAAUUAGUAAUCUUUAGGCACUCGUCUGUCAUCAGAGUUGGCAGUUUGUACUUUCUUAAGAGCAAAUGGCUAGAUAUUAACUUAUCAAUUUUGAAUGCUCAAGAAAAUAAAUAAAAGACAGCUAAGAAGAGGAAAAAGAGUUCUUGAAGUGAGAAGUUUCUGAAUAAUUUGUGUUCAUAUAGUUGUCUCUACAAAAUGUGAAGAACCUAGUGCAUGGAGAGUUAAGAGAACUACUAUCUAUUUCUCAAAGCUUUGGUAUGGAAUUGUGACUUUUUUAACCAUGAAAAAUCGUGGAAUUCUUAAACAAUUUUAGGGAGAUGAUUAGGAAAGCAGUGAAGUUCAAACAGGUCUUGGUAGUGACCAUGACAAGAGAGAUAGAAGAGGGCCUUAAGGAGAGAGGGAGGGAAGAGGUGUAAUGUGGUAAACAUAAAGGGUAGAAUUAGCAUAGGCUUUCUUCUCCGCCUGUUUGUUCGGAUUCAUGAACAGGGAUAAAAGCUUUUUGGUGGGAGAAUUUGAAAUACCUGAAAGGAAAGUACAAUUUCACAUGUACUUUUUAAUGUUUGGUAGAAGAUUUUCUUUUCUUUUACUGUUCCAAAUUUUCAUUUAUUUCAACUCCAUAUAUAAAUGCAACCUAUAUUUUGUCUAUGCCAAAUUCAACUUUCAUAUUUUACAAUGGAUCAUAGUUUAAUUGCCUUUUUCUUGCCUCUGGUGGAUUUGAUUCUAUAAUAUAAAGAACUAAAAAAUUGCUUCUGAUUUUUGCAGGCUAUAUUUAGAGGGGCAAUGAAAGGCAAAAUGAUUGUGAAUUGUCCUCUGCCCCAAGAGCGAAUACCAAAAUAUCAGUUGUUAUACAAGGACUUGUAAAGCUGUAAAAUGUUGCCUUCUUUUGUUUGGAGACUUCCAAUCAAUUCUGUGAGAGCUUACCAUUGCUUGCUUGAUUGAUCGUUGAUAUGGAAGGAAUUACUGUGAACCUAUUGAUGAAUUUCAGGAAUUAACAAGUGUACAUUUGACGGCAUUUGCAUUAUAUUAUAUUUUUUUGCUGAUCUUUUUAGUUAAAGCAAAAUUAGGACUGGCAUGUUGCGGAUUUCAUCUCGGUCUGCAAUUUUUCAAUGGAAAUUAGAUGAACUUUGGAGUUGAAUAGAGCGCCCAUGGAUGAAAAUAUGUCAUUGGCACCCUACUGUGUUUUCUGGAGCUAUUUUUCUUUAUGGAAGACUUGGUCUGUCCUGUUGCAGGUUUCAUUAUUUUAUAAAACAUGCG
rnacentral:misc_RNA from 1 species